CUCUUGCCACAGUGGUGUGCUUUCCUCUCUCAGUAUAGGAAGCUGCUCAGAACUGCAGCAGGGCAGAAAGACAGGAGGAGCUGUCCCUUCUGAAGACAGCGGGGUUGCAGAGGCCACGCAAACGCUACUCUGGGUUAUUUCGGGACCAGCAAUGAAACAUUGAGCCAGCCUUUUCUCUCCGAGCCAGCCACACCAGCACGAUUUGACUUUUGACAUCUUUCCUUGUGAUGAGAAACGGCUGACUCUUUCAGCAGUUGUAGGCAAAAGGGCCUGCUAACCGGAGGGAAGGAAACCCGUACCACAGACCCUACAGGAAGGAAGGCCUGUGCCUGGGAAACUCACAGGCAGAAGCCGUUAGAGGGCAGCAAGUGUCUGUCUGGGAGCCCAGGCAGCAAGAGGACAAAGGAGCGCCUGGGAGCUGCCAGCAGCCUGGGGGCACCACUGGGUUUGACAAGGAAGGACGAAACCUGAUCCCAGCAAACGGGACACGUCGUCGUUGUGCUGUUCUGUAAGGUGACCCAGUUCUGAGACCAGACGCUAGGCUCUGAUCACACUGUAUCUGUCACACACCCUGCUUGCAACCCUCGGCCUCCGAGAGAGAGAAGACAGCUCUUCCACAUUGCCUGGAGCCUCUCUGACCUGUUUGCGCACUGUACGAAGGAGGACACAUCCUGAAAGAGGCUGUCACUUCAGCUGCAGGCUCCACGGUCCCUAUGAGACAGCCACAGAAGGGUCCCUGCACUGUUAGGUGUUUGGUCCCACUCACCAUGGAGACCUCAUCUUCAUCACAGCACUUUGGAUUCGUGCUUCCCUUCCAUCAACUGCCUUCCUCAUUUCUAAGAUAGUGGUAGUCAUAGCAACAAGUUCCGAGUGUUACUGCAGGACUUAAGUAAGAUAGUGUAGCUAAAAUAUUGAGUGUCUUGUGCUCAGCUAGCAGUAAGUGUUUAAUGAAUAUUAGGUAUACUCAUGGUUUCUGACCAAUAUUGACUGUAAGAUCUUAUCACUAGGGACUGUGAUUAUCUCAAUCAAUAAACUGCUAUGCAAGCAUGAAGCUCAGAGUGUGGAUCUUCAGUGCCCACAUAAAAGCCAGAUGUGGGGCUGGCUCAGAGGUUAAGAGCACUGACUGCUCUUCCAGAGGUUCCAAGUUCAAAUCCCAGCAACCACAUGGUGGCUCACAACCAUCUGUAAUGAGAUCUGAUGCCCUCUUCUGGUGUGUCUGAAGACAGCUACAAUGUACUUGUGUAUAAUAAAUAAAUAAAUCUAAAAAAAAAAA